AUUGAACGCUGGCGGCAGGCCUAACACAUGCAAGUCGAACGAGUGGCGGACGGGUGAGUUAUGUCUGGGAAUCUGCCUGAUGGAGGGGGAUAACCACUGGAAACUGUCUCUAAUACCGCAUACUAUCGGAUGCGCACAGAUGGGAUUAGCUAGUGGGUGGGGUAAAGGCUCACCUAGGCGACGAUCCCUACCUGGUCUGAGAGGAUGACCAGCCACACUGUAACUGAGACACGGUCCAGACUCCGACGGGAGGCAGCAGUGGGGAAUAUUGCACAAUGGGCGCAAGCCUGAUGCAGCCAUGCCGCGUGUAUGAAGAAGGCCUUCGGGUUGUAAAGUACUUUCAGCGGGGAGGCGUUACCCGCAGAAGAAGCACCGGCUAACUCCGUGCCAGCCGCCGCGGUAAUAC
rnacentral:rRNA from 1 species